UACGGGGGGGCAAGCGUUGUUCGGAAUUACUGGGCGUUAAAGGGCUCGUAGGCGGCCAACUAAGUCGGAUGUGAAAUCCCCAGGCUUAACCUGGGAACUGCAUCCGAUACUGGAUGGCUUGAAUCCGGGAGAGGGAUGCGGAAUUCCAGGUGUAGCGGUGAAAUGCGUAGAUAUCUGGAGGAACACCGGUGGCGAAGGCGGCGAUCCUGGACCGGCAGUUGA
rnacentral:rRNA from 1 species